GACUUAGCUCAGUUGGUAGAGCAUCUGAUUUGUAAUCAGAGGGUCGGGCGUUCGAAUCGUCUAGUCGGCA
rnacentral:tRNA from 1 species